AUUCAGGCCGGUCCUGCAGAGAGGAAGCCCUUCUGCUUACAGGUAUUGGAAGGGCUUCCUCUCUGCAGGACCGGCCUGAAU
ncrna:Homo sapiens (human) microRNA hsa-mir-3158 precursor (hsa-mir-3158-1)